UACGUAGGGUGCAAGCGUUAAUCCGAAUUACUGGGCGUAAAGCGUGCGCAGGCGGUUUUGUAAGACAGGCGUGAAAUCCCCGGGCUCAACCUGGGAAUUGCGCUUGUGACUGCAAAGCUGGAGUGCGGCAGAGGGGGAUGGAAUUCCGCGUGUAGCAGUGAAAUGCGUAGAUAUGCGGAGGAACACCGAUGGCGAAGGCAAUCCCCUGGGCCUGCACUGACGCUCAUGCACGAAAGCGUGGGGAGCAAACAGG
rnacentral:rRNA from 1 species